rnacentral:rRNA from 1 species
AACGAACGCUGGCGGCAUGCCUAACACAUGCAAGUCGAACGAGACCUUCGGGUCUAGUGGCGCACGGGUGCGUAACGCGUGGGAACCUGCCCUUAGGUUCGGAAUAACUCCCCGAAAGGGGUGCUAAUACCGGAUAAUGUCUUCGGACCAAAGAUUUAUCGCCUUUGGAUGGGCCCGCGUUGGAUUAGCUAGUUGGUAGGGUAAAAGCCUACCAAGGCGACGAUCCAUAGCUGGUCUGAGAGGAUGAUCAGCCACACUGGGACUGAGACACGGCCCAGACUCCUACGGGAAGCAGCAAUGGGGAAUAUUGGACAAUGGGCGAAAGCCUGAUCCAGCAAUGCCGCGUGAGUGAUGAAGGCCUUAGGGUUGUAAAGCUCUUUUACCCGGGAUGAUAAUGACAGUACCGGGAGAAUAAGCUCCGGCCAACUCCGUG